ACUCAAAUGAAUUGACGGGGACCCGCACAACCUGUGGAGCGUGUGGUUUAAUUCGAGACAAAGCGAAAAACCUUACCAGGGCUUGACAUCUUAUCGUUUUAUACCUUUAGAAACAUUGGUAGAUCCGCAAGGAUGAUAGGACAGGCGCUGCAUGGUUGUCAUCAGUUCGUGCCGUGAGGUGUUCCCUUAAGUGGGGAAACGAACGCAACCCCCGUGCAAUGUUAAAUAUUCAUUGCAGACUGCUUCAUUUUAUGAAGAGGAAGGAGGGGAAGAUGUCAAAUCAGCAUGGCCCUUAUGCCCUGGGAUACACACACACUACAAUGGCGAAAAACAACGUGUCGCAAGUAUGCAAAUGCAAGCUAAUCACUGAAAUUUCGCCUCAGUUCAGAUUGAGGUCUGCAACCCGACCUCAUGAAGUCGGAAUAGGUAGUAAUCGCGGAUCAGCAUGCCGCGGUGAAUACGUUCUCGGGUCUUGUACACACCGCCCGU
rnacentral:rRNA from 1 species